rnacentral:rRNA from 1 species
ACAGCAGUAGCCACGGUAAAACGAAGGGGGCUAGCGUUGUUCGGAAUAACUGGGCGUAAAGGGCGCGUAGGCGGAUCUUUAAGUCAGGGAUGAAAUCCCAAGGCUCAACCUUGGAACUGCCUUUGAUACUGGAGAUCUUGAGUCCGGGAGAGGUGAGUGGAACUGCGAGUGUAGAGGUGAAGUUCGUAGAUAUUCGCAAGAACACCAGUGGCGAAGGCGGCUCACUGGCUCAUACUGGACGCUGAGGUGCGAAAGCGUGGGGAGCAAACAGGAUUAGAUACCCCCGUAGUCCCUGUCUCUUAUAA